rnacentral:rRNA from 1 species
UACGUAGGGACCAAGCGUUGUCCGGAAUCAUUGGGCGUAAAGAGCGUGUAGGCGGCUUGUUAAGUCAGGGGUGAAAUCCUGGAGCUCAACUCCAGAACUGCCUUUGAUACUGAAGAUCUUGAGUUCGGGAGAGGUGAGUGGAACUGCGAGUGUAGAGGUGAAAUUCGUAGAUAUUCGCAAGAACACCAGUGGCGAAGGCGGCUCACUGGCCCGAUACUGACGCUGAGGCACGAAAGCGUGGGGAGCAAACAGG